GUGAGUCAAACAAUAAAUAAGGGAAAUAAAAAUAUGAUCAGAUUAAGAGUUGCGGUAAGUGUUUUAAAGGAAAAAGAGCAGUUGGUAGUGAAAUAGAAAAAGAAGUUUUUAUAUGCAAUCUGUUUAGAUGGUAAGAGAAGUCAUCUCUGAGAAGAGGAUCUUGGAAUUGAAAUCUGAAGAAUAAAAACUUGCCCUGGUGUGAUUGAAGCUUUAUGACCAAGAGGCAAAGAAGAGAAUUACAGUAUGGACUGGGGUGAUCGAUCCCAACUACCAAUGGGAACUGGACUACUACUCCACAAUGAAGAAUCAGGACAGGAAAGUGCCCUGGAUAAAGGAGUGACAGGAUGAAUCACAGCAGGAGCCCGAUUGUGACAGGCAGAGGGGAGUGUGAAAAGAGAUGCGCCGAGGUGUUUAUAACAAUAUCUGAAGAAAUGUCUGCCCUCGUCUCCUUUCGACUCUUGCUCGUCUGGAUUGAAAUCAUUCACCUAAGGACAAAAACUUUGAUCUCACUUUACUUCCUCCGCUAAUCAAAAACAUUUCAAAUUACGCCUCCUUCCUCGUAAUGACUUCCUCUCCUACAGGAUCAAAUGUACAGAUGCUUAUGUUUGCACUCAUGUUUAGUUCUAGACUUCCCAGCCACAUAGUGAGGGU
rnacentral:lncRNA from 1 species